AACGAACGCUGGCGGCAUGCCUAACACAUGCUAGUCGAACGAGACCUUCGGGUCUAGUGGCGCACGGGUGCGUAACGCGUGGGAACCUGCCCUUAGGUUCGGUAUAACUCCCCGAAAGGGGUGCUAAUACCGGAUAAUGUCUUCGGACCAAAGAUUUAUCGCCUUUGGAUGGGCCCGCGUUGGAUUAGCUAGUUGGUAGGGUAAAAGCCUACCAAGGCGACGAUCCAUAGCUGGUCUGAGAGGAUGAUCAGCCACACUGGGACUGAGACACGGCCCAGACUCCUACGGGAGGCAGCAGUGGGGAAUAUUGGACAAUGGGCGAAAGCCUGAUCCAGCAAUGCCGCGUGAGUGAUGAAGGCCUUAGGGUUGUAAAGCUCUUUUACCCGGGAUGAUAAUGACAGUACCGGGAGAAUAAGCUCCGGCUAACUCCGUG
rnacentral:rRNA from 1 species